ensembl:rRNA 5S_rRNA 5S ribosomal RNA
GCUUAUGGCCACACCUCCCUGAGCACAUCUGAUCUCGGUAGCUAAGCAGGGUCGGGCCCGGUUAGUACUUGGAUGGGAGACCGCCUGGGAAUACCAGGUGCUGGAAGCC